UACGUAGGGUGCGAGCGUUAAUCGGAAUUACUGGGCGUAAAGGGUGCGUAGGUGGCCUUUUAAGUUGGAUGUGAAAUACCCGGGCUUAACCUGGGGGGUGCAUCUAAUACUGGAGGGCUAGAGUGCAGGAGAGGAAAGCGGAAUUCCUAGUGUAGCGGUGAAAUGCGUAGAUAUUAAGAGGAACACCAGUGGCGAAGGCGGCUUUCUGGACUGUAACUGACACUGAGGCACGAAAGCGUGGGGAGCAAACAGGAUUAGAUACCCUGGUAGUCCACGCGGUAAACGAUGAAUACUAGGUGUAGGGGGUAUCAACUCCCCCUGUGCCGGAGCUAACGCAAUAAGUAUUCCGCCUGGGGAGUACGGCCGCAAGGUUGAA
rnacentral:rRNA from 1 species